GACCUCAAAUCAGGUAGGACUACCCGCUGAACUUAAGCAUAUCAAUAAGCGGAGGAAAAGAAACUAACAAGGAUUCCCCUAGUAACUGCGAGUGAAGCGGGAAAAGCUCAAAUUUAAAAUCUGAUAGUCUUUGGCUGUCCGAGUUGUAAUCUAGAGAAGCAUUAUCCGCGCUGGACCGUGUACAAGUCUCCUGGAAUGGAGCGUCAUAGAGGGUGAGAAUCCCGUCUUUGGCACGGACUGCCAGGGCUUUGUGAUGUGCUCUCAAAGAGUCGAGUUGUUUGGGAAUGCAGCUCAAAAUGGGUGGUAAAUUCCAUCUAAAGCUAAAUAUUGGCGAGAGACCGAUAGCGAACAAGUACCGUGAGGGAAAGAUGAAAAGAACUUUGGAAAGAGAGUUAAACAGUACGUGAAAUUGCUGAAAGGGAAACGCUUGAAGUCAGUCAUGUCAGUCAGGGAUCAGCCUUGCUUUUGCUUGGUGUACUUCCUGGCUGAUGGGUCAGCAUCAAUUUUGACUAUUGGAAAAAGAUCAGGGGAAUGUGGCAUCUUCGGAUGUGUUAUAGCCCUUGGUUGUAUGCAAUGGUGGGGAUUGAGGAACUCAGCAUGCCGCAAGGCCGGGUU
rnacentral:rRNA from 2 species